GGAUGGGUGGCCGAGCGGUUGAAGGCACCGGUCUUGAAAACCGGCGUGGCAGAGAUGUCACCGUGGGUUCGAAUCCCACCCCAUCCGCCA
rnacentral:tRNA from 1 species